ACGGAGUUUAAACCCAAGCCCUGGCCGCGAACGCCGGGCUUCGGGAGCUGGGUGCUGGUUCCCCCGACCCUGAAAAAGCGUGAUGGAGUACUCAGCAAUGGAAACUAGUUCAAUUUUUCCUUCAGGAAUUAAGAAACAUGUGAAAGACAGAAGAAUUUCAAAGACUACUAAGUUGAAUGUUUCUCUUGCUUCAAAAAUAAAAACAAAAAUAAUAAACAAUUCUUCUAUUUUCAAAAUUUCUUUAAAGCAUAACAACAGGGCAUUAGCUCUAGCUCUUAGUAAAGAGAGAGAGAAUUCUCGCAUGAUUACAACUGAAAAGAUGCUAUUGCAAAAAGAAGUGGAUAAACUGAAUUUUGAGAACACAUUUCUUCGUCUAAAGCUAAAUAAUUUGAAUAAGAAGCUUAUAGAAAUAGAAGCACUCAUGAACAAUAACUUGAUAACUGCAAUUGAAAUGAGCACUCUUUCUGAGUUCCAUCAGAGUCCCUUUCUACUGCCAAGUAGCAAGAAGAAACGGGUUAGUCAGCAGUGCAAAUUGACACGUCUCCCAUUUGCAAGGGUUCCAUUAACUUCAAAUGACGAUGAUGAUGAAGAUAAAGAGAAAAUACAGUGUGAUGACAGCACCAUAUCGAAGACAUCACCUGAUAGUCCCUCUUUGGUAUCAGCAAGACCAGUAUCAACUCAGAAUAAUCUAAGAGUGCUAUUUGUUAAAGAAAAUGAUCAGAAUGUUUGUAGUGUAAAUGAUUCAAAACAUGUUUCUUCUGUUGUUGAUGUACUUCCCAAAGAAAACCAUUCCCACUCAGACCAAAGUUCUAGGAGCUCUCUAACAAGUGAGAAGAAAAAUGCCCAGGCGAUUAGCCACAAUAAAGAGAAGUCAUCUCCUAGUAAUGUGACUAAAAGGAAAAAACGUGCUUCAUCUUGGGAGUCAGAUAAUCCUGCAGACACUCCCUAUGUAACAGAUUUAGAUCAACAACAGGUUUCAAGUCCAAUAUUAAAUUGGAAUAAUGAGAUAAAAGAUUAUACUAAUGAAACAAAUACAAUGCAGAGAAACAUACUGUGCCUUCCUGCCUCAUCUGAGUCUGCAAGUGAACCUCCUACAAAAGGCAUGGAUCCACUUCAGGGUAAUGACUUUGAGUUGCAGAAAACUGUGUAUGAUGAUGACAUGGAUUUAACUGCUAGUGAAGUCAGCAAAAUUAUUACAGUUUCAACAGGCACUAAGAAGAAAAGAAAGAAAAAUCCAGAUGAUUGUAGAAUGAAAACUUUCAGAAAAGUGAAAGAUCCAAGCUCUGAAAAAAAGAGAGAAAGAUCAAAGAGACAAUUUAAAAAUUGUUCAGAUGCAAAUAUUGAGGAAAAAAUGGAAAGUGGACCAGAAAGAAGAUCUGUUGACCUGGAUGUUGAAGGGGAUUCAAGAGAUCCAAAUUUUAUCUUCAGGACUGAACAGUUGACUCAGUUGAACACACUGAAGAAAAUAACCCUUCCUAAUGGCUUUGAUCAGGGUGACAAACAAAGUAUGCAGUGUAACAAAAAGAAGAAAAGAAUUCAUGUAACAGAUGAGCAAGAGGAAACAUACUCUUUCUCCCAAAGUUCAGAUAAAUUCCCACAGGAUAGUAAAUUUGAUUUGUGUCUGAGUUCUCUAGCUUGUAAGAAGAGUAAAGCUUCUAGACAGACAUUUGUGAUUCAUACAUUAGAAAAAGAUAACUUAUUCCCAAACCAAAAGGUUCAAGAAACCACCUCUGAAGACCAAGGUGUCGCAAAUGAAUUUCAAACAGCUUAUCUUUCCAACAAAGGUAAUCCAAAGUUAUGUGAUGAUGAGACCCAAAAUAUGUUUGAUUUGAAAAAGCAUGUCACUGAUACACAACCCACUCAGCAAAAUGAAUCAAAAAUAAAUAAGGUUUGGCAGAAAAUAAAUCGGAAAACAGAAAUAAUUUCUAAAAUGAACCAAAUACUUGGGGAUAAUACUAAAGAUGUGCAAGGCCCAGAAAAAGGUAACUGUUCCUUCCAAACCCAAGAGGAUAAAGAAACCAUCUCUAGAAACCUAGAUGUUUCAAAUGAGUUUCAGAAAUCUGUUCUUUCCACUGCCAAUAAUGGAAACCUGUGUGAUUGUGAAACCCAGAAUGUGUUGGGUUUGCAAAAGCAGAUCACCGACGCAUACCCUGUGCAGCAAAAUGAAACAAGAAUUAAUAAGACUCUUAGGCAGAAAGUAAAUCGGAAGACAGAAAUAAUUUCCACAGUGAAUCAUUUAGAUAACACAAGUGAAUAUUGCCCAGAAAAGGGUAAAGAAAUCAUCCCUGAAAACCUAGUGGAUACAUGUGAGUUUCAAACACCCAGUCUUUCUUCCAAAGACAAUAGAGACCUAUAUGAUUAUGACACUCAGAAUGUUUUGGGGGUGAAAAUGUAUGUUCAUGAUAUACAACCUGCUUGUCAGAAUGAAUCAAAAAUAGAUAAGCUUAGGCAAAAGGUAUGUCGGAAGACAAAAAUCAUUUCUGAAGUCAACCAAAUAUAUAAGAGUGAUGACAAAGGCAGGCACGACCCAGAAAAAGGUAACUUACUUUCUCUAAUCCAAAAAGAUACGGAAAUCAUCCCUGAAAACCUGGAAGACACAGAUGAGUUUCAGAUAGUUGACCCUUCCCCCGGAGUUAAUAGGAACCUAUGUGAUUAUGAGACUCAAAACCUUUUAGGGGUGAAAAAGUGUGUUAGUGAUACUGGGAAGCAAAAGGAAUCAAAAAUAAAUAAGAGACCCAGGCAGAAAGUAAGUCGGAAGACAGAGACAAUUUUGGAAAUGAACAGAAAAAAUGAGUUUAACAAUAAAGGUAUAUGUGGCCCAGAAAAAGGUGACUUCUCCCUAACCCCAAAUAACGAAGAAACCAUUUCUGAAAACCUGAAAGUCACAAAAGAAUUUCAGACAAUUUAUCUUUCCACCAAAGAUGAUGGACAUUUAUAUGAUUAUAAGACCCAGAAUACGUUGGAGUUGACAAAAUGUGUCACUGAUAAGCAACCUACUCAGCAGAAUGAAUCAAAAAUAAAUAAGAACCUUAAGCAGAAGCAGAAAGUAAAUCGGAAGACAGAUAUAAUUUCUGAAAUGUGCCAGAUAUAUGAGGAUAAUGAUAAAGAUGUGCAUGGCCAAGAAAGCUAUACAAAAAAUCUUGAUUUUAAAAUAAAUAAACAAAGACCUGAAGGCCAAGCUGUUAUUAGUGGAUACUGUAUGGAAAUCGACAGUGAUGAGAAAGAAAAUUGUGAUGAAAUUUCAAAUCCUUAUAAACCAAUUAAAAAGCAUGGGAAAGAAUCGGACAAGGCAAAGAACAUUUUGGCAAAAAGUGACAACAUGCCUGUUUUGCAGUUGACAGGUUCUUCACAGAUCUCUGUCUUAGAACCAGGUUUAAAACAUAUUACUGAUGAGGCAGAUUCUGACACUGGAAACCAAAUGGAAUCACAUAGGAGCUCGAAGCUAAGCACUAAAACUCUGAAUAGAAAGAGAGAGAGCCACUUUGUGGAGGUGGCGAAGGAAGGAGAGUGCCAGGUCAAAAAAGUAAAUAAGAUGACAUCCAAAUCAAAGAAAAGGAAGACCUUCGAAGAUCCUUCUUGGGAUAGUCAUGAACUAAUGGAGAGGAUAUCCAACACCAUUCAGGAAGUAUCAGUUGAACCUGAGUACACUGUUAAGGGAAAAAAGUUGGAAAAUGUGGAAACUGUCAAACCAGACUUCUACACAAAAAUGUUGAUAUCUUUAUCUCAACGGUAUUCACCUAGCAGACAAGAUUCUUCCUGUAACAGUGUUCUUGAGGGUUCAGUGCCUUUGAGUAUUUCUUCUAAUAAAAAUCUGAAAGAAAAUUUUGCCCCAGAGAGCUCACCCAUCUUUCAAGUAAGUGAUGAGGUACAUGAGAAGAUGAAAGACAUGAAAUUUAAAGUCGACCAGAGAACACAAAGAUCAGAAAUAGGUGUUAGAAUGCUACAAGACUUGACAAAUACCAGUUUUGUUUCAAAUACUGCUGCUAAAUUUGAAAACAAGGUAGAAGACCUAUCUUCAGAGCUGCCAAGCCGAAGAAGGAGGUGUACUCCUCUCUCUUUAAAGGAGCCAAGUCUCAAAGGGAAGAUGAGAAGAUGAGGUGAAUUUAUACAUUCUGGUUUUCCUGAAUGCUCAGACGAUAGCAGUUCAAAACAGGGAUCUAACUAGGACCAAGAAGAUGACAAGUUCUGGGUUUUGUUUUUGUUUUUGUUUUUUAUCUCCUGCUUUUUUAUGGAGUGUUUAUUUUUAUGUAUAGAUAAUAUGCAUAAAAUAGCUAUUUUGUAAUAUUAAGCACUAAGUUAUUUUGGUCAUCUUAUAUCUUAUCUUCCUGCUCAUUUAAUUUCCUUUCAACCAAACAACCUUUAACUAAACAAUAGCUAUUAACCUUUUAACCGAAUAAACUGUAUUAUAAAUA
rnacentral:lncRNA from 1 species